rnacentral:rRNA from 1 species
CCCUUAGAUGUUCUGGGCCGCACACGUGCUACACUGAGUGGAUCAGCGGGUCAGGUUGCGCGAAAGCGUUUCCUAAUCUUUAAAUCCGCUCGUGAUGGGGAUUGACGGUUGCAAUUUUCCGUCAUGAACGAGGAAUACCUUGUAAGCGCGGGUCAUCAUCCCGCGCUGAAUACGUCCCUGCCCUUUGUACACACCGCCCGUCGCUCCUACCGAUUGAGUGGUCCGGUGAGGCUUUGGGAUCUGAGCGGAAAGAGCGUUUCGCUGUUUCUGCUCGGAAAACUCAGUCGAACCUUAUCAUUUAGAGGAAGGAGAAGUCGUAACA